rnacentral:rRNA from 1 species
CCAGCAGCUGCGGUAAUUCCAGCUCCAAUAGUGUAUAUUAAAGUUGUUGCAGUUAAAAAGCUCGUAGUCGAAUUUUAAGAUUUUGGCGCUGAUCUGUCUCUUAGGAGCCAGGUAUCGGCGCUGAGAUCUUUUUUUGCCGACCGUUAAGCUGAUUUUUUAAUAAAUUAGUUUGAGGUAUCGGCAAUUUUUACUGUGAAUAAAUUAGAGUGUUCAUGGCAGGCCGAAAUAGGCUUAGAUAUCUCAGCAUGGAAUAAUAGAAUAGGACUUCAGGUUCUAUUUUGUUGGUUUUUUGGAGCCGAAGUAAUGAUUAAUAGGAAUAGUUGGGGGCACUCGUACUCCGUUGUCAGAGGUGAAAUUCUUGGAUUUACGGAAGACGAACAACUGCGAAAGCAUCUGCCAAGGAUGUUUUCAUUGAUCAAGAACGAAAGU